rnacentral:rRNA from 1 species
UACAGAGGGUGCGAGCGUUGUCCGGAUUUACUGGGCGUACAGGGAGCGUAGGCGGUUGGAUAAGCCCUCCGUGAAAUCUCCAGGCUUAACCUGGAAAGUGCAGAGGGGACUGUUCAGCUAGAGGAUGGGAGAGGAGCGCGGAAUUCCCGGUGUAGCGGUGAAAUGCGUAGAGAUCGGGAGGAAGGCCGGUGGCGAAGGCGGCGCUCUGGAACAUUUCUGACGCUGAGGCUCGAAAGCGUGGGGAGCAAACAGG